rnacentral:lncRNA from 1 species
CAGAGAUUCUCCGAAUAACUUACUUGGCUUCUGUUUCUUUGGUGAUGCAGAUUGUGAGGCCAAGAUCCCAAAGAUGGAAAGGUUAUUGAGAGGAAUUAAUGUGAACUCAGUGAAAAACUUUUUUUUCAAAAGGGUGGGGCUAAUUGCAAAGGAGUGUGUACUGAUUCAAGAUUUUUUAAGGCCCUGAAAAAUGUCUUAGACCACCUUUUGCUCUGGUAAGUUGACCGUGUUUCUGUGAAAUGCUGCAGUCUGAAGGCAGACAUUUUUUUGCAGCUUCACUUGUUAAACAGCUGUGUAUUUUCUUCAUUUGUUACAGAUCCAGUGAGGCCAUUGAGACUUGAGGUAAAUGAGAAGCAUGCUUUGAAUUUCAUUUCUUAGAUGAAGUAGGAAAGCGGGGAGGAUGGUCUGAAACAACAGGCUCACUGCUGAUGCUAACAGUGGUUUCUAAGGGCUGCCUACACUUAACAUGGCAGAGGAUAACAAAGCAGUGCUCUUCUGUUGCAUGGUUUAUGCUUUAGGGAUUCUACAUGUUGAUCAC